GGACAAUACUUUCCGUGCGUCGAUGCUAUCGAUAUUUAGCUGUUAAAAUUAACCUGUGCAAUUUAAUCUAUCGUCCCGUUUUUGCUCGCUUUGGUACUGUGCUGUUGAAAGGGGAGGCGCCUGGACUCAUAUGUGGGCUCUCUUCUCGAAGAGUACCAUUCAACAUAGCUAGCUCCCUCAGUUGCUGCUUCUUGAAGAAAUCAUGGGAUUCGUCCACUGGCUUAAAAAGUUCUUCGAGUAUAGUCACCGCUUUCUUCAAUUGGUUGUCGAUAAUAUCUGCUGGAAACUCAGCCUC
rnacentral:misc_RNA from 1 species